AGAGUUUGAUCAUGGCUCAGGACGAACGCUGGCGGCGUGGAUUAGGCAUGCAAGUCGAACGACGGGCGGGCUUCGGCCCGCUACGGAGUGGCGAACGGGUGAGUAACACGUGAACAACCUGCCCUCACGUUCCGGAUAAUUGGCCGAAAGGCCUUGUAAUACGGGCGAGGGUCCAAUCUGGGCAUCUUGAUUGGAAGGAAGUCGCAAGACGCGCGAGGAGGGGUUCGCGGAUUAUCAGGUAGUUGGUGAGGUAACGGCUCACCAAGCCAACGACGAUUAGCUGGUCUGAGAGGAUGGUCAGCCACAUUGGAACUGAGACACUGUCCAGACUCCUACGGGAGGCUGCAGUCGAGAAUCUUGGUCAAUGCACGAAAGUGUGAACCAGCGACGCCGCGUGGAGGACGAAGGCCCUCUGGGUCGUAAACUCCUUUUGUGGGAGAAGAACGGGCGCAAGCCCUUGACGGUAUCCCACGAAUAAGCCACGGCUAACUACGUGCCAGCAGCCGCGGUAAUACGUAGGUGGCAAGCGUUGUCCGGAUUUACUGGGCGUAAAGCGAACGCAGGCGGGCCUUUAAGUAGGAAGUGAAAGGUUGGAGCUUAACUCUAACACUGCUCCCUAUACUGGAGGCCUUGAGUUUCGGAGAGGAAGAUGGAACGAUCCGUGUAGCGGUGAAAUGCGUUGAUAUGGGUCGGAACACCAAUGGCGAAAGCAAUCUUCAGGACGAAUACUGACGCUCAGGUUCGAAAGCCAAGGUAGCAAACAGGAUUAGAUACCCUGGUAGUCUUGGCCUUAAACGAUGCUCACUAGGUGUUGGGGGGCAACCCUCGGUGCCGCAGCUAACGCGUUAAGUGAGCCGCCUGGGGACUACGGCCGCAAGGUUGAAACUCAAAGGAAUUGGCGGGGGACCGCACAAGCGGUGGAGCAUGUGGCUUAAUUCGAUG
rnacentral:rRNA from 1 species